GCUUGUAUGACUUUCUCAAAACUCUGGCUGUUUUCAGCUAAAGUUUGUCAGGGUAACAGUCUGUGAAGAGUUCAAAGCUUUCUUCAUGCACUGUUUUUUUUUUUUUCUGUAUUACUAAGGUAGAGAUCCUGAAUUCAUGUUUGGAAAGGAUAAUUACUCUCUCUUAUGCUUUCUAUAUGCAGUUAUGCACUGUGUGGGUAGUGAUGUGGAUUGUACUGAGAUUUAAGUUCCUGGGAUAUCAUUCAGCUUUACAGGCCACUUAUCAAUCUAGUCAAUGGAAACCAUUAUAUUUUCUACUAUGAUCAACCCAAAGAGAUAGUCAGAAACAUAAACUAUAAAAAAUCUUGCAUGACAGGAUGAUGUCCCUCAAGAAAUUCUUGCCCAUCAAUUAUCACAUUAUGCGUGCUACCUAAACCAAAUAACUGCUGUUAUUAGUCAUCGGCAGCUAUCUUUGGUUCAAGAGUUAUUUGUCGAAGUGGAGUAGCCUCAAAUUGCCUAUUUAUUGCUCUUCUUGUUCAGUUUUGGCUUAUCCACUCUUUGUUCUUUAUCAGUGCUCUUCUCAGCCUUAUCAUCUCCUCUUCCCUUUCAAAGAUCCUUGAAUAAUUGCUUUCUCUAAUCCUGUCCUGUUUCUCUAGGCACCUGUAAGAGAUGUGACUCCUGUUCUCAAUUGUGUCAAUAAAGUGUACUGGACUGUACUUAUUAAAGUAGGUACAAUAAAAUAAUUACAAAUAGCAGCAGAAUAUUGAGUUCUCAUUGAAAGCUUCUGUCUGUAUGGUAAAGUAAGUCCCAAGUUGUCCCUGAGACCAGUAACCACAUAAUCAUAGCAGCCUGCUCAGAGAAAGUCUAUAAAGGAUCCAUUAGCUCCAAGGUUUCAAAUUAAGAGAGGCUUAGCAGCAUAGACUCCUGUAUCAAUAAAAAUCUGAACACUUUGGGGCCUUCUCAGGAGGUCUUCAAUCAUCUCUGCAGAGAUGGUAAUAAGACGCUUUGUUAAAACUGGAAUAUGAGCAGUUCCAGACCCAGCAAUAGCAAUAGCCUAGAAAGCAAUUUUUCUUCAAUUUUUCAAGGUGGGUAUUUCUUUUUCAGAAGUGACUAAUUUGCUACUUUUUUUUUUUUAAUUGUAAACAAGACACCAUUUUUAGAUGUGUAGUGUACACUCCUUAAAAAUUUUGCAAGUGAAUGCCACCAGGAAAACAAUCUUUAUUGCUGGCUUCAUAAAGGAAUAAGCUUUCUGCAACAGUCCAGCAUGUAUGUCAUUCUGUGCACUGGUCAUCUUACCACUUCAAAACACGCUAAGUAUUGACCAAUCUCCACUAAAAAGGACAGAAGAAGAAAAUUCUCAAUUAUUAUUAAGCUCUCACAUGACUAGUAAAAUAAGCUUUCCAUCAUUUUGAUGAGACUGACCAAAUUCUUUGUUCUUCGCCAUCAUCCAUAAAAAGGAAGCAGCAAAAUGUCAACUAGUAUGAGAAAUAGUGUGGGAAAGGACUGCUUAUUAAAUCUUAGACACAGAAGAAUUUUGACUAGAGCUUAAAAUGAGACCAGAUCUUACCUUACAGAAAGCCACCUGGAAACCACAGAAGUGUUUGUUUAACUUUGUGGUUGAUUUUUCAGGUCCUACAUUUGCACGCUAUCCAUGAAUCAUCAGUUAUUUUUCAAUAUCUCAUGUGUAUAAUCAGUAAGUUCUUGCCCCAGGUACCUCUGCUUUUGUGAUUGUUUUGAGAUACCUGUAGAGAACCACCUUCUUUGAGUCUUGUUAUAAGGCACCCAUACUUAUUCAGUAUAAACCACUGCUCACAGACAUAAGUAAUUCAAACUUCAGUGGACUCUAGAUUUUAAAUAUCCUGGAGUAAUUAUUGUCACUAACUGCCCCAAGAUUUGUAGUGGGCAAACAGCUUUUAAAACAACCUUGAGAAUUCACUUACAUAUAGUAGCACUGCUACUAGUGCCUGGAAAUCCCAGUAAUUCCAAAUGUAGCCUCAAAGAGAACAGAUAUGCUAAAGAGCUGACCAAAUACACCAUCUUUUUAUCAUAUGUUAUUAUUUAUUGCACAAGAAAUGCUACCACAAUACUUACUACCUUGCUUUCCUUGGUAGUAAAGGGCAAUUGUAACGGUCUUUUCACUCCAGGGAGAAAAAAAUCACAUUAUUAUGAGAUUCUGUAAAAGUAUGCAAAAAGCUGUGGUGAAAAAAGGGUGAUAACUACCUGAUUAGGUAUGUCGUCAUGGCAUAGGAACCUGUAAAUAAACAGAACUUCAAGGUAAUCUAGUAAAAUAAAGCAUCACACAUCCUCAAAAAGAAAGAAUUUCUGGAUUAUUCACCAGUCAUGAAAUCAAUAAGCAUCUACCCAGUAUAUCAAAUUCCUAGAUGAUAAAUGCAACUGUGGGUAAACUGAAGAGGAAAUAAAGAUGACUGUUUUGUUUCACAUUUAGGUCCAAAUUUCCAGUACUCUAAUUAAGACUUAUUCUAGUCUUGCUUACUUAGACAAAAAGCUGCAACUUUUAAAAACAGAGAUCAAAGCUUAAUGGUAGAAUUAAUAAAUAAACUGCAGUUGUCACAUUUAGAAAGGUGAGCCAAAGGACAUGUGUCUGAGGUGGCAAGCUUUCUCCUCUGAGUUGCAUGGCUGCAGGGAAAAGACAUAAAAUGGGUUACAAUAGCAGCCUUGCUUCAUUUUAAAAGUGGGGCCAGUGAAAUUUCAGUUUAGUGGUAGUUCACUCCUAUCUUCGUGAGGCAAUACUUUGGCUACACUGUAGUGCACUUUGUGGUCUAACAAUGAAUACUUAAACAGAAAGUAUGCCCCUGUAAUAAGCCCCCACAGUAAAAAAAUUAAUAUUAAUGCAAUGAAAAAAAUUGUUCUUCCUUUUGAACCCAGUGAGGACUGCAAAGACAGUGAUUAUUAAAGAAUUCAGCGGGUUGCAAAAUUGACCUUAACCUGGAAAAAGCUAGGCAGAAGCAGAGGAAAAACUGAUUAAAAAUUCAAUGCAGCAUUGCAUGGCCUUGGUAACCUGGGACUGGGGUACUCAAGAGUUACUGACAGCUUGCAUUUCAAAGCUGAUUUGUAAAGUUGCCAACAGGUCAGUAAUCAGUAACUUUACAGAGCAUGCAGCUGACACAGAAAGCCAAAAAGGAACAACAAAAGACAUAAUUGGAUCUUAGGACCCAAAAGAUGCCAUGAAUGCAUUCAUUUUUGGCACUACGCAUGCUGCAUGUUGCGACAAGAUAUGGUUAUAAUGAAGGUGAUUUGCAUAUUUUUCAUGAAGUUUGGAUGCACUGAAUUAUAAAAAUAACCCCCUAACAUGAAGCUAUUUCACUGGCACUUGGAAGUCUUAUUUGAAACACUGACAGAACCACAGAAGUAUUUAGUGAUGAAAGAAAAAAAUUUUUAAAAAAAGUCUAUUAGGUCAUCACAGGCAUCUGCCUUCGAAUGCUGAAUUAUUUCCUUCAGUUUAUUUAGAAGUUGUUCAUAUUUACCAAAAUAAAGAAACAAUAAAGGAAACCACUGAAAUAACCAUAGACAACUUAAAACUUCACAGCACUUAACUCUUUGGACUCAAAUAGGAAAGUUCUUACCCAGUUGCCACUGAUUUCGGUGAGCUAGAAGGUUUUAAAAGGACUAAGUGUAUUGUCUAAGGGCCUACUGGAUAAAACUCCUUCCCUUUAAGGUCCCCUUGUCCUUCCUCUCCCUGCUUGUCAUCAGCCCUGAGGACUGGAUAUCAUAGUUCAUAUGCAGAGGUUUCCAGGUCAAUGACUGUAUGCAAAGCUCCAUGCCCUGUCACGAGGUGCUGCGUCUGUCUUCUCAUACAUUUAUCUGGUAGUUUUGUCUAAUAUGGGAACUGCAAGCUCUACUAUCUUCUUGCUUUGUGUGGUACCAUCCCAGAUUUCCAGACACGGAGCUCUUGGAAACACUGGCCACAGCUGUCAGAGACUUGGACUGGACAUGCACUGGUGUCAGACAUGAACUGUUGGACUGGGCAGAGCCAGCACUGGCAAACUCUGCCCUGUUCCCAGUCCUCUGUCAUAAUAGCCAGUGCACAAAUUGCAGCUGGACUCACAGGAGGCUUGAUGCUGUCACCUCCUUCUCUCUCACAAGGCAGGUGUCUGAAGCCUCUCCUUCUGAAGCAUGGCUGUAGGGACUGAACGUGUAUGUGAGCAACGUGGCUCUUCCUGGUGGCCUGUCUUUCAGUGUGCUAGGUUUUGGCAGGCCUUAGCCUCAGCUCAGUUGGGGUCUGCACAGUGUGAGGGGAGUUAGACUGUUACAGUGUGACUUAGACUGCCAGUGUCAUGCCUAGGCUUCCAGACCCACCAGCAGCAAGUCAGUCACACAACCAUGAAGACCCUCACUCAUGCUCCUUAUGGAUGUCUCCAACCAGCCCAGGGACAAAAGUCAUGCUUGAGAAGGCUAAACAUGGAGAGGCAUUUGCAUCACACCAGAAACACAUUUAAAUAGGUCUGACUCAGAACAAAUUAUAUUUUAUAACAGACCUGUUGUCAUAGUCGUAGUACUGUAUGCAAAUCUUUCAGUUCUCCUUGGGAAUUCUUUUUAGUCCUGUGCCUGGUCUUUCUGACAAUCAGUUUGUGAAUAUCUAUCUCUCUAUCUACAGCCAUCAUGUAUUUCUGCUAGGAUGUUAAAGCUUUAUAUUUUCUGUAUUCAAUUCAAAGAAAAAAUAUAAAUAUUAACAUAGAAGUGCAUAUUCCUUUGGUAAUUUAUCAUUAUUUUGCUCUUUUCAAUACGCUAGUGAUAAAUAAGUUCCAGUUUGAGGAUUAAAUCAUUUAUUCUUAGGGAUUUUUAGGAGUUCUUAUUUCCUACAAGUUCCAUACAGGAAUUAAGCUGUGAGUGUCAAAAUCUGAAUACGCAAGCAAUCCAAGGAUUUUUGGAUCCUCAUUUAUUGGAACAGCAGGCUUCUUUACCAGGCCUUCAGAGCAAGUAAUGGUCAGCUUUACAUUUUUGCUCUUGAAGGCGUUUUCUCUUGUGCUUAUAGGAGAAAAAUCGGUUUGUUGUUAUUAGAUAGAAACUACUACUUCUGCCUUUUAAAGUGGAAGAUGUAACUGGCAAGAGUCAACAACAUGAAAGAAGCAAUGCCAUGAGUUUUCUGAUGUGAACCUUGGAUGCAGCUUUUGCUUGUUCGCUCUGCCAGGUAUGCAGCAGCAGAAAUGCAAGGCUUGUGUGAAAGGAGACCAAUGUCCGAGAUCACCUACAGUGAGGUGAAUGCAUGUUUCCUCUAUGGUUUCCUCAAAAAGUAUUAGUACAGCAGGAGGUAGGAGAGUGAAACAGGGUUAGGCAUGGCAAGGUAUGUCGAGGCAUUAGGGGGAAUCUGCAUAGUCUUCCAUGGUUGUUUUAAACUGAGUGAUAUCAGGGCUUGAUGUGAUUAUAGCAACACAAAGUGUCACAAAAUGAAUAUAAGUAAUACAGUUCUGUCAUUACAAUGCCAGACUCACUCUUCUAUCUUCACCAACUCAUUCUGAAUGCAAAUUUAUUCAUACCAAGCUCUUGUGAAGCAAGAAUGUGAUUUAUUUUUGAAUAUGCAAGUGCCAAACUUUAGAGAUGGAAGAGAUAUUACACAAAAUAUGGUCAGAGGAUAUAGCUAUAAUUAGUGAGGGAAAAUAAGAAACCAAAAUUGGUGAAAUCUUCCUAACAAUCAGUAGGAACCUUGUGUAAGGAGCACAAUUGCCUGUCUCAAACACUGUUAAGACCACAAGGGACUUUGCCAUAGUAUAAGCACAGAAUGGAGCAACAUGAUGGCACUACAUCCAGGCCUAGCAGAGGUGAGAUCUGGCUAGCACAUCCUGAGUAAUGCAUCCAGACAAAAAUUGCCACUGUGGAAAGUUGUGUAAAGAAGCACAUGCUUGUAUGAGUAUCUCUGGUCACACAAAGAUCGUCCCAAGUUAUGGGACAGAUGUCAUCUGGAACCACCAAAGCUCCUCCCAAAUAUGCCUCUGUGGAUACCUGGAACUUGAACUGUAAGUUGAAACACUGUAACGGGAACUUGAGAUAAGAUAAAGGUGGUACUAGUGACUGUUAACUCAGGCCAAGGGGGAGGUUAACACAGCUGGGGGGGAAGAAUGUAUCACUGAUAAUGGACACAAAGAAUGCAGAAUUUAUGGGCCACAAGGAAACCCAACUGGCAACUGUUCUGAACCCAAUUCAGCUCUGACUGGGUAAAAUAUAAUUCUGACAGGGAGACAUCAUGACCACUGACUCAGGGCCACUGACCCAAGAGAUCCACUGACUCAAAAGAAGAAAAAGGCUAAGCAUUGGUCUAAUCAGCAUUAGAAGCAAAGGAAUCAUUAAACUAAUAGAAUAAGAGAACUGUGUAGAUAGUGAGCAUUAAUUCCUUUGUUUACAAAAACGUACAAAUAGUGAAAAGGACCCCCAGCACUGAGAAGCCCAGGGUGAAGAAGGACCAAUGGGAUGCUGCUGGAUUCACAGGUGGUGGCUAUCUUCUGCUUGAGCGAGCUCUCUCUCUCUUCCCCCUCCCCCCUUUUCUGUUUCUUUCUCUGUCUUUCUAUCUCACAUUUACUGUUAAAUAAAAUCUAUACUAUUGACUUCAA